AAUGGCUCCUCCUCCCUCAGCCGACGUACUGCAAGUAUGCGAUCCCAGCCAGGCUAGAUGAUAGCAGCAAUGAGAGAAUGCCUAACCAAGUUCCAACUAAAUGGGAAACACCAUUAAAGGGGAUGCCUGAUCAUUACUGAUAAGCUGCAAAUGGAAGCAAAGUUGAGUGAUAUGCCAAGAUAGAAACUUGAAUAGGGUAUAAGUAUCUGAUCAGUAGGGAGGGGGGUGGUUUAUAAGGAUGGGGGUCCUUGUCGUAUUAAUAAAGAAGGUUAAGCUUCAUUGUCUAUGGGGUUGCUGGAGUAAGACCCUUGGAUACUAUACUACAAGGAGCUCCACUUUACUACUUCAUUUCCUCUUCCCCGUACACCAAUAGUUAGGCCACUUUCUUGUAUGCAUAUAUAUAUUGAGCAAAAUCAAUUAGCACUACAGAGCUGACGAAGUUGCACCAGGAGGCAGCAAUAUGCAUGGGGUUCAAUCUCCUUUUGGGUCUGGGAUCUCCAAUGCUUUAUGUAUCGGAUCUCACUAAAUUUCAUAUAUUAUUCUAUUGCCUUUAUUUAGGGGAUUCUCAGUAUUUGUUCUUUGAGUAUUACUUAUGCUGGACCUCACCACAUUCUGGCAGAAAUGAUUAUUAUUUAUUAUUAAAGCACCAUUCAUUCAAUAGCAAGGUACAUAUGAAAAGGGGUAUACAUACAAAAUACAGACAAAUGAACCAAGUAUGAACAAGACGAGUUACA